GACGGGACCGCACAAGCGGUGGAUGAUGUGGAUUAAUUCGAUGCAACGCGAAAACCUUACCUACCCUUGACAUGUCCGGAAUCCCGAAGAGAUUUGGGAGUGCUCGCAAGAGAACCGGAACACAGGUGCUGCAUGGCUGUCGUCAGCUCGUGUCGUGAGAUGUUGGGUUAAGUCCCGCAACGAGCGCAACCCUUGUCAUUAGUUGCCAUCAUUUGGUUGGGCACUCUAAUGAGACUGCCGGUGACAAACCGGAGGAAGGUGGGGAUGACGUCAAGUCCUCAUGGCCCUUAUGGGUAGGGCUUCACACGUCAUACAAUGGUCGGUACAGAGGGUUGCCAACCCGCGAGGGGGAGCUAAUCCCACAAAGCCGAUCGUAGUCCGGAUCGCAGUCUGCAACUCGACUGCGUGAAGUCGGAAUCGCUAGUAAUCGCGGAUCAGCACGCCGCGGUGAAUACGUUCCCGGGCCUU
rnacentral:rRNA from 1 species